UACGUAGGGGGCAAGCGUUGUCCGGAUUUAUUGGGCGUAAAGAGCGUGUAGGCGGCCAGGUAGGUCUGCUGUGAAAACUCGAGGCUCAACCUCGAGAUGUCGGCGGAAACCAUCUGGCUAGAGUCCGGAAGAGGAAAGUGGAAUUCCCGGUGUAGUGGUGGAAUGCGUAGAUAUCGGGAGGAACACCAGUGGCGAAGGCGGUUGCCUGGAGCUUUGCUGACGCUGAGGCGCGAAAGCGUGGGGAGCGAUCCGG
rnacentral:rRNA from 1 species